UUAGACCAAGUUUAUUAUAACAUUUUAUUUUCUUAAUUUGAUUACUUUGAGAGUUCACAUAUCAUUUAAAAAAUCAUAUUUUGAAAAUAUGAUUCAUCAGCAUAAAUCUUAGUUCAUCCUAGGUGGUGGUGGCGUAAGACGACCCCACCCCAACUAGGUGGCACAUUCGAAAUGGUCAGUUUUAUCUCAUCAUGGUUUGGUGACGGUGGUCGAUGACCCCAACCAGUGAAUUUUGCCUCAUCAUGGCUUGGUGGCGGUGGCCGGAUAGGACGACCCCAACCAGUCAGUUUGGUCUCAUCGUGGCUUGGUGGUGGUGGCUGUGGACGACCCGAAAUGGUUGGUUUUGUCUCAUCAUGGCUUGGUGGCGGUGGCCGGAUAGGACGACCCCAACCAGUCAGUUUGGUCUCAUCGUGGCUUGGUGGUGGUGGCUGUGGACGACCCGAAAUGGUUGGUUUUGUCUCAUCAUGGCUUGGUGGCGGUGGCCGGAUAGGACGACCCCAACCAGUCAGUUUUGUCUCAUCGUGGUUUUUUUUUUGUGGCCGCGCAGGACGACCCCAACCGUUCAAUUUUGUCUUAUCAUGGUUUGGUGGAGGUGGCUGUGGACGACCCGAAAUGGUUGGUUUUGUAUCAUCGUGGUUUGGUGGCGGUGGCUGUGGACGACCCGAAAUGGUUGGUUUUGUAUCAUCGUGGU
rnacentral:lncRNA from 1 species